rnacentral:rRNA from 1 species
CCCGCUGAACUUAAGCAUAUCAAUAAGCGGAGGAAAAGAAACUAACAAGGAUUCCCCUAGUAACUGCGAGUGAAGCGGGAAAAGCUCAAAUUUAAAAUCUGGCGGUCCUUGUGGCUGUCCGAGUUGUAAUCUAGAGAAGUGCUAUCCGCGCUGGACCGUGUACAAGUCUCCUGGAAUGGAGCGUCAUAGAGGGUGAGAAUCCCGUCUUUGACACGGACUGCCAGUGCUUUGUGAUGCGCUCUCAAAGAGUCGAGUUGUUUGGGAAUGCAGCUCAAAAUGGGUGGUAAAUUCCAUCUAAAGCUAAAUAUUGGCGAGAGACCGAUAGCGAACAAGUACCGUGAGGGAAAGAUGAAAAGAACUUUGGAAAGAGAGUUAAACAGUACGUGAAAUUGCUGAAGGGGAAACGCUUGAAGUCAGUCGCGUUGUCCGGGGAUCAACCUUGCUUUUGCUGGGCGUACUUUCUGGUUGAUGGGUCAGCAUCAAUUUUGACCAUUGGAAAAAGGUCAAGGGAAUGUGGCAUCUUCGGAUGUGUUAUAGCCCUUGGUUGCAUACAAUGGUUGGGAUUGAGGAACUCAGCACGCCGCAAGGCCGGGUUUUUAACCACGUACGUGCUUAGGAUGCUGGCAAAAUGGCUUUAAUCGACCCGUCUUGAAACACGG